rnacentral:rRNA from 1 species
CCUACGGGUGGCUGCAGUGGGGAAUCUUGCGCAAUGGGCGAAAGCCUGACGCAGCAACGCCGCGUGAGUGAUGAAGGCCCUCGGGUCGUAAAGCUCUGUCAGAAGGGAAGAAUUAAUGACGGUACCUUCAAAGGAAGCACCGGCUAACUCCGUGCCAGCAGCCGCGGUAAUACGGAGGGUGCAAGCGUUACUCGGAAUCAUUGGGCGUAAAGCGCACGUAGGCGGUCUCUUAAGUCCGAUGUGAAAUCCCGGGGCUCAACCUCGGAUGGCCAUUG